AGUAAAGUCAGCUAAUAAAAGCUUUUGGGCCCAUACCCCAAACAUGUCGGUUAAAGUCCUUCUUUUGCUA
rnacentral:tRNA from 1 species